GAAUUCGCCCUUAGAGUUUGCUUUUGGCUCAGGACGAACGCUGGCGGCGUGCCUAACACAUGCAAGUCGAGCGGGGAGGAGAGAGCUUGCUCUCUAAUCCCAGCGGCGGACGGGUGAGUAACGCGUGAGCAACCUGCCUCAAACAGGGGGAUAACGCAUCGAAAGAUGUGCUAAUACCGCGUAAGACCACGGUGUCGCAUGACACAGAGGUCAAAGGAGCAAUCCGGUUUGAGAUGGGCUCGCGUCCGAUUAGCUAGUUGGUGAGAUAACAGCCCACCAAGGCGACGAUCGGUAGCCGACCUGAGAGGGUGAUCGGCCACAUUGGAACUGAGAGACGGUCCAGACUCCUACGGGAGGCAGCAGUGGGGAAUAUUGGGCAAUGGGCGAAAGCCUGACCCAGCAACGCCGCGUGAGGGAAGAAGGGUUUCGGCUCGUAAACCUCUGUCCUAUGGGACGAAGAAGUGACGGUACCAUAGGAGGAAGCCCCGGCUUACUACGUGCCAGCAGCCGCCGGUAAUACGUAGGGGGCGAGCGUUGUCCGGAAUGAUUGGGCGUAAAGGGCGCGUAGGCGGCCUAGUAAGUUUGGAGUGAAAGUCCCGCUUUCAAGGUGCGAAUUGCUUUGGAUACUGCUGGGCUCGAGUGCAUGAGAGGAAAGCGGAAUUUCCGGUGUAGCGGUGAAAUGCGUAGAUAUUAGGAGGAACACCACGUGGCGAAGGCGGCUUACUGGACGAUAACUGACGCUGAGGCUCGAAAGCGUGGGGAGCCAACAGGAUUAGAUACCCUGGUAGUCCACGCCGUAAACGAUGAAU
rnacentral:rRNA from 1 species